UGAGGCACUCGGCUGGGAGCUGUCUCAGAAAGCUCCGGCCUCACAACGCGCCAGGGUGCGCGUGGCCCCUGUGCUCCUGCAGACUCUUGAAACUGUGAAGGUGCGUUUGUGACGUGCUGACAGGAGGGGACACAGCGAGAGCCAGGGGCCGGGCUGCACUCAGACCGCGACGGGGCUACUCCGGAGACCUGCGGAGUCCGGGGAAGAAACUGGAAUGAAGGGCCUGCCACUCGCUCUGACCUUCCCAGCUUUCUUCUAGGCUGCCCAAAUAUUAUUCUUCGAAGAUCAUUUCCAGCUCUCCCCAGAGCUCCCAGAAGUCCACCAACCAAAGACAGGUCCCAAAGGCCACUUCCAGCAGUCAUUCAACCUGCAUCAAGUCACAGUGCUGUCAGCUUUCCUCAUUUCCAAAGACAAGUAUUCAUUCGCUGGCAAUCUCACUUGAUAAGUCCAAAGGAAAAGAAUUGUGUCAACUCAUCACUAAAUGCAAUUCCUGUGAAGCUUUCUUAUUCCUGAGAGCAAGUGAGAUAUUCACACCAAUCCAGUAAGGAAUAAUUUUCUUAUUUGUCAGAUGUGGAAAAUGAAGCCCAUUGGAGGGAAAUGAAUUGCCAGGCAUCUCUCAAGACUUCCGAAGUCCAAGGCACCUAGCCCAAUGGAGAUUAUGAUGAAAAUGCCCCAAAUCCUUUGAACUUUUACUAAUACCAUUUGUCUUUUCAGAACAGUUAAAUUUCUACUAUAUUUUCCCUUUAUUUUAAAAAAUAUCUUCCUUCUAUCUAAUCUCUUGGCUUUU